rnacentral:rRNA from 1 species
GAUGAACUUUGGCGGCGUGCCUAAUACAUGCAAGUCGAGCGAACAGACGAGGAGCUUGCUCCUUUGACGUUAGCGGCGGACGGGUGAGUAACACGUGGGUAACCUACCUAUAAGACUGGGAUAACUUCGGGAAACCGGAGCUAAUACCGGAUAAUAUUUCGAACCGCAUGGUUCGAUAGUGAAAGAUGGCUUUGCUAUCACUUAUAGAUGGACCUGCGCCGUAUUAGCUAGUUGGUAAGGUAACGGCUUACCAAGGCAACGAUACGUAGCCGACCUGAGAGGGUGAUCGGCCACACUGGAACUGAGACACGGUCCAGACUCCUACGGGAGGCAGCAGUAGGGAAUCUUCCGCAAUGGGCGAAAGCCUGACGGAGCAACGCCGCGUGAGUGAUGAAGGUCUUCGGAUCGUAAAACUCUGUUAUUAGGGAAGAACAAACGUGUAAGUAACUGUGCACGUCUUGACGGUACCUAAUCAGAAAGCCACGGCUAACUACGUGCCAGCAGCCGCGGUAAUACGUAGGUGGCAAGCGUUAUCCGGAAUUAUUGGGCGUAAAGCGCGCGUAGGCGGUUUUUUAAGUCUGAUGUGAAAGCCCACGGCUCAACCGUGGAGGGUCAUUGGAAACUGGAAAACUUGAGUGCAGAAGAGGAAAGUGGAAUUCCAUGUGUAGCGGUGAAAUGCGCAGAGAUAUGGAGGAACACCAGUGGCGAAGGCGACUUUCUGGUCUGUAACUGACGCUGAUGUGCGAAAGCGUGGGGAUCAAACAGGAUUAGAUACCCUGGUAGUCCACGCCGUAAACGAUGAGUGCUAAGUGUUAGGGGGUUUCCGCCCCUUAGUGCUGCAGCUAACGCAUUAAGCACUCCGCCUGGGGAGUACGACCGCAAGGUUGAAACUCAGAGGAAUUGACGGGGACCCGCACAAGCGGUGGAGCAUGUGGUUUAAUUCGAAGCAACGCGAAGAACCUUACCAAAUCUUGACAUCCUUUGACCCUUCUAGAGAUAGAAGUUUCCCCUUCGGGGGACAAAGUGACAGGUGGUGCAUGGUUGUCGUCAGCUCGUGUCGUGAGAUGUUGGGUUAAGUCCCGCAACGAGCGCAACCCUUAAGCUUAGUUGCCAUCAUUAAGUUGGGCACUCUAAGUUGACUGCCGGUGACAAACCGGAGGAAGGUGGGGAUGACGUCAAAUCAUCAUGCCCCUUAUGAUUUGGGCUACACACGUGCUACAAUGGACAAUACAAAGGGCAGCGAAACCGCGAGGUCAAGCAAAUCCCAUAAAGUUGUUCUCAGUUCGGGUUGUAGUCUGCAACUCGACUACAUGAAGCUGGAAUCGCUAGUAAUCGUAGAUCAGCAUGCUACGGUGAAUACGUUCCCGGGUCU